GAAUUUGCUCACAAGUGUAAAGUGAGUGGAUGGACUGAGAAUACAAAAAUACAUUUAUACUGAAUUUUUAUAUUUUUAAGUUAACAUUAAUAUAAACACUAACAUAUUUCACUCAGUAACACAUUUGAACGUGCUCGUGGCUGCAGCAGGACUUUCACACCUUCAUUGUGUUUUAACAUAAACAGCUCCAUCAUGCAGUGUAAAGCCUGAGAAACUAAACUAACACGUUCACCAGCACACACUUCCUUUAUUUCAGGGACUACAGCAGUCUGAUGGUCAUUACACAAUAAUUCUGUUAUUUUUACACAUUAUUCUUUCUGUGCUGUAGUCAGAGAGUCUAGUUUAAUGACCCGUGUAUGUUUUAGUGCUCCAAACUGUGUAAGUGUGUGUUUCUGACUAAAACUGGUCCAUGUGACCAUCAGAAUACAUGUUACAGCUAAUAGACCAAUCAAAUCAGUCCACAGCUUCAAAUCAUCCAAUCAGGUGUGAGUCUGGACCUGGUUUUGUACUGAACACACAAGUUCAUUAGAUCACUUGGUGUGAACAGGAACAAUGAUCAGACUCUUUGUCGCUCUUUGUGCUCUUUUUUCUCUCUUCACAGCUGUGAAAACCUCUGACAUCAAGGAGAUUGACGUGAUAACAGCAAAGCCUGGAGAAGAUGUAACUAUGAAGUGUAACAUUAGCAGUGACACAAAGAAAGAUGUAGUUUGGUACAGACAGAUUUCAGGAAAAUUACCUCAGUUUUUUGCAAAACCAUACAAGAAUGAUUUGGGCUACAAAUUUGAUGAAGGAGUUAAUGAUGCUCUUUUCAGUAUUAGUGUAAAGGACAAUAAAUUUGAUCUCAGUAUUACACAAACAAGUGAAAAUGAUGAAGGAGAAUAUUUCUGUGUAGAAAUAGAAGGAAGUGUAGUGAAGUUCACAUCUGGAACACGUCUGCAAUUUGCAGAUAAAGACACGACACACCGUCCAACAUCUGGAACAACACACAGAGAUUCAUCCAGCAGCAGAGCAACAAGUAAGAGCCUUAAAAUAUAGAUUUAUUUAAGGUCUGAAUUUGAUGAUUUUUUUGCAGAUUUAUUAUUUAUUAUUUGUUCCACAGCAAUUUACCAAAACAAUACAACACAAGUUAAUGUACAAUAAAACAAUUUAAUACAAAAAAAAGAAACUUAACAUGAACUUCUGACCAAUCAGAAUCCAUGUGUUCUUCUGGCUCUCCAUUUCAAGAAUCGGAGUUCUCACUGUUACAGUUAUUAUAAUUACAAUAUGGUACAAGGUUUUAAAGUCAAGAUCUUAAACUUGAUAUAAUUGUGUUUUUACUGUUGUCUGUGUCACUCUAACUGUAUUUUCCAGUACAUGACAUUUAUUAUUUUUUUUAUUUUACUCCAGUGUGUAUGUGUGUUAGAGGGAGUGUGUGUAUGUGCUUCUGUUUGCGUGUGUGUGCGUACGUGUGUGUGCGUGUGUGUGUCGCUCUAACUGUAUUUUCAAAAAUUUCAGUCCAGUGUGUAUGUGUAUGUGUAUGUGUGUGUGUGAGUUUGUGUGUGUGUGUGUGUGUGUGUGUGUGUGUGUGUGUGUGUGUGUGUGUGUGUGUGUGUGUGUGUGUGUGUGUGUGUGAGUGAGUGAAUGUUCAUUUACACUGAUCUAGAAAACUGGAUUAAAAACACUACCAAAUGUCUGAACUGAUAUUGUUCAGGGUUUACUUUGAUUCUGCUGAACCUGAAGUGUUUCAUGAACAAUGCAAUAAAAUUAGACUUUAAUAAGA